rnacentral:lncRNA from 1 species
GUCUAUCUUGCUGAUUUUCACUUCCCUGAAAUUAAUCGAAUUUCAAUCUAUUCUCCUCACCAUGGGAUCUCUUUACAAUUUGUAGCUGGUCUCCCGCAUUCACCCUUGACUUAUUAUAGGUGAGAUGGACAUGUCAUAAUAAUGAUUCCCGCUGUAUGCCAUUUUCUUUUUACUCUGUGCAAUUUCUAGUAAAUACAGAAAAUAUGAAUUUACAAAUUAUUAGUCAAUAGUAGGUACUUCUUGACACAAAAAACUGAAAAAAGUAGUCAGCGAUAACUGCUGGUUAACUUAUAAUAAACAAGAAAAAAUUCAGCAAAAACAAAUGGCAAUUUAGGAACCAACGAUUUAAUAAAACAUAAACUUGCUUUCUAUAUUUUUUAAUAGAUACAGAAAUAUGUAUUACAAAUUAUUCAAUGAUAUUUCUUGAGAGAGAAAAAAACUUAAAGAAUGUAGUCAGCCAUAACUGUUGGUUAGAACUUAUAAUUAACAAGACAGCAGAAACAGAUGGCAUAUUUAGGGACCAGAGAUUUAAUUAGACAUUAAGAUUCAAGAAGUAUAUAAACGAUUAUCUCAGGAUAGAAUCCAAGAUUUUAUAUAUUUAAGUGUUACGCGGCCUUUCGACUCCCGCAGCAGCUCAAGUUGCAAGAGGUGCAUCCUAUCUAAAAACUUAAAAAGCUCAUGGAAUCAAAUACCUACUGGAUUCUUCAACUUAGGCUGCUUUGAACAGCACCAAAUGAGUAGAUCCAAGGGAAUGUUCCAUGACAAAGCAUAGCAUCAAUGGGCCUUCAUUGCAUAAAACAAAUACAAUACAAUCAGAUUGUGCUUAUUCAAUGCAUGUAUUGAUGUAUAUGUAAUUAGGGGAGCAGACAUAUGAAUUGACUGAAGAAGAUGGUGGAUCAGUGCAUAUGUUUUCCCAUUACAAGCAUGCAAUUUCCAAGCUUUUCCAGACAGAAUGAGCACUAGUUCUUUGGCACGAUACAAAUCUUGUUUUUGCAAUGGCCAAAAAGUAGUUAUUACUGGUUAGUACCAUAGGUCCAUAGGCACUUGUGUUCAAGUUCAAGCAAUAUAAAUAUGUCUCAACACACUCAUAGUAGCAAGUUUGGCAUCCAACAGAAUUUGUAAAAGAUAUAGUAUUAAUUACUUUAUAAUUUUUCAAUUUUAAUCCACAAAUGGAUAUAUGAAGACAAUAGCUAUUAGCAAUGAAUUGCUACAAUGAGAACUUUAGGUAACUCCAUCAGUAAUCCAGUAACCUGAUUACAAGAAAGAAACGACCUAGAAACUAAAAUAAGGUAACUUGACCAAUCUAAUAGAGACAGUAACCAGUUUGUACAAAAUAACCAGAUAGAGGAUUUUGAUUCUGGUAGUAAUAGUCUAAUAGAUUAUGGUUGGUCCCUAAUGCAAAAUGUAUCAUCUGUAGAAGUGGCUUAUUUGGCAUCAAUCUUCUUUUCCAACAACAGUGACAGAGAAUAAAAUGGCUAAAAGAGCCCUAUGCCUUUCAGGUGAGAUGGCAAGAGGCCAAGAGAACAAGGGAGAGUAAAAUAAAAAAGGUAGGGGGUAGAAGAAUACCUCCUGAAAGGAUUGUCCUGAUUUGGAAGU